CCCCACGAUAAGGAACUGCGGGGCAGAUAUACGAGGAAAUUUCGAAUAAGAGAGAAUCUUUGAAGAGAGUCCUGCUAAACGCAGCCCAUUCGCACGUGUCCGCGCGGUAGGACACGUGUUAGCACGAAUCGCGUGCGGUCUGGAAUUGCUCGAGGCUCCGGCGUGUUUCUAACCUCAAAAUAUUGACGUGAACGUCGGUGAUUCCCUACAGUGUUUUUCGUCCGUACAACGGAAUAUACGUACGUAAAACUUUUGUUCGGAUAAGAAAAAUACGAACCGACGAAUAUGGACUUCUGCGUUACAUUGCGUUCUGACCAGUCAUAAGCGAUUCGAUGAUUAUCGACUUUUUAGUAUUAGUCAACAUUGAAGGAGUCCAUGGGAAGUAUACAAAAGACAGUGCUCAUAAACGAUUGUUUGUGACGGCGAAAGGGACAAAUUUUGAGUAAGACGCCCGUUAAAUCUUGGUUUUUCUUCAAGAUGGAGAGCUGCCUUUUCUCCAUGGAUAUGCAGAAGCUGCUGUUAAAGGAACAGAGAAAAUGUGGCGAGCUGAAAUUUAUUUUGUCUCGAGCCACAGAGGAGACCUCGCGUUUCAUCGACGAAUUACUAGAAGCCAUUACAAGUGUUGCUAAAAAGUACAACUUGUAUAAUAUUAAGCUGUUCUGUGGAAACGACAGUGCCUUACCGUAUGAAAUCCCUUCGAACAUUUUUGCCGAUUUCACGUAUUUUGUGUUGAAUACUAAUUUCACUACACGGCACCUUUUCACGGAGAACAUAACAGUCAGCCAUUUACUCGAUGUGUGGCCUACUAUAUCACCAUAUCUCUUCAUACAGAUAAUAUGGCAUAUGAAGUUGGAUGACUUACUGAUUGAAUCAUUGAUGCACAUGCCAUUGGAUAUAUGCGUGGAGAUUUUAGAGGCAACGGUCAGAUGCUUAAACGAGCAGCAAAUUGUGCAAAACAGACGCUUUGUUUUCCUUCUGAUCUCUAAGUUGUAUUACAAAUGCAAAUUGCUGAACGUAAACACGGUGUCGAAACGUGAUAUUGUAGAACUCGCCAAUCAAUUAGUAGCACACUUUCAGGCAUUGCUAGAUAUUGUCAGCUCCAAAUUUAUAAAGUCAUCUGACCCCGAAAAGUACACGAAACAUGGUAUUCUUUUAAAAGAUUUGCUUCGUUGUGUCAAAACAUGCAUGAGCUACAAGAGUGAGUAUUACGAGGAAAACAAUGCUUUCUUGCGAGAGUUGAACAUCACAUAUGGCAGUUUUAACAACUCUACGGCUCACCUUGGGAAGUUUCCAAUCGAUAAAGUACAAGCCAUCGUAGAAGAACUGAACCAGGAAUUAUUUAAGCUACUUCAAGAUCAAAUCGAACAAAUUGAUUGCUUUGAGUUCAUAGAGUGGGCGGAAGUCGAUGAUGAGGAAAACGUUAUGAUUUCGCUGCAGCGCGCUAUUAUUAUCGAGUGCCACUGCUUUAUGGAGUUCAUGAAGCGCGAUGAAAUUUUGAACGAGAAUCUGUUCCACUGCCUACAGCAGAUUGUAGGUUCAAAUAAACCAGCCGAAGAGCAUAUUUUAUCUAUAGAAGAAAUUUGCUAUAAGAUAACGAAUAGCCAAUUGGAUAAAGACAUUGUUAUGAGGGAACUGAUGGAGCGUUACAAGAAAUGGGACCUGAUUGUACUGAAUUUGUUAAACGAAAAAGCAAAACUGUUAGAUAUAAAGGAUUUUAGUGUCCUACUUAAAUAUCUUCAUUAUAUUUUUUCACCUAGAAGUACAAACAUGUCUGAUGAAGCGAAACACCAAGCCUACAUAUUGGUAUUAAAGAUCUUAAUGCAGAAACGCCUAUCAAUUAUGUACCAUACUGUACUGCAAUACACAGUACAGCACUUUCACGAUAAUCGUCUAACGUGUCUAUUCAACAGCGAAGUUUUCAAGAAGUUUAUAGAAAGUAACAUAAACAUGCAUGAUCAGGAGAAAUUACGUUGCAUUUUGAUUUUUGUCAUGUUGAAUCCGAAGGUAGUGUUAACCACUCUAGUGAGAGUCAUGUUAGGCAGUAGCAAACCAGAGUAUCGAAAUGUUAUGUUUAAAAAGCCUCAGUUAGCUUAUCUGCAUACGUUUCUCACAAUAAAAUUGGACGAGCAAAAUAGCUUGUUGACGUACCUUCUGAACGAUGCCUGGUUAAAUGAUCACUCUACGUGGCACUACAAGCAAUUUGAGAGUUUUAUGAAUGAUAUGCUUGAGACUGAGGCAAUCACUCCGGACGAACUGAUAAACAAUGUCUAUAUUCUCUUCCUGUCCACUGACGUUUUCAAUUCCUCGAACUUGCUUUCCGUGCUGACACACAUAAACUCUAUCCUGGAGAAAAAGAAAGCACAGCGCAAACACAACGCAUCACAUACUGUAGACAAAACGAAUUACACACGACUGAUCAUAUCGUUAACCAAGAAGAUGUCGACGAUGAGAAAAUGCAGCCCAAUGUACUCAAGGGACACCGUGAACUAUUUGUUGGACUGUGGAACGAGGAUAUUGAAUCUUAUAUUCGCCACGAUAGAUCAGACUCCGAGCAAUUGGAACGAGAUUAUUAGGAAUAAUCACUUUACAGAGCCAAUCGACCAAAUACUGGUGCCUUUACAGUUGCGGACAAUGCUGCGUGGCACCGUGAUUGAUGUGAUCCAGAACUACGAGAGACGUUGCAAGUAUCAACCGCAGCACUCCUCCCAACUCGAUCGGAGAGCGUUCUUGCGUCACAUGAUGCUGCAUGCCACCGAGGCAGAGUAUCAGAAUUUCGCUCUUGAGAUGACGACAAUGUCUUCGGCCUACUUUGGUUGGACCAACGAAUUGAUAGCGUAUGAGACCAUAUUGCAAAUUACCACCGAGGCAAUGCAACUCGCCUUAGCGUACACAGACAUCUUUCCCAGAGACACAUUUGUUUCGCUGUUGCGUCGCCUUCUACGGUAUUGCAGUGCUCUCUCGUGUCUCAAACAAAAAGAAUACAAAGAAGCGAUCUACGAUGUCCUAUUAAAGACGCUGUUCGCUCUGAAAAGUAUAGUCGGCGGGACGCAGUACGAUAAGAUGUACAACAUUUUCCUCGAGCACAUUGAUAAAAUGUACAAGUCGGAUGAGAUUGCAGUUUACUUUCUCAAUCUCAAAGAGUUAAUCGAGGUAUACUUCGUACAAUCUGAAGAGAGUGACAUUUCAGACAAAUUUUCGGCCUGUUCGACUUUACUUCCAAAUGAGACACUUGAAAUGUUCGUUUCGUACCAAGGCGUGUGCACAUGCAUUGACACUACUUCAUAGAAAAAAACAACUCCGCAGAUGAUCAUCGAGCAGAUACGAAACCUCAGAUUUCCAGGAUUAGCUUCGAGCAAAGUUGAAAUUUCUCCGAAAUAUUUGGUUUUUACAGAAAAAACCAUACUGAGUCUCCUGAAAAAUUGUAAUUUAAAUAUUGCAAUUAUAAUACUUUUCAUUACUUCCAUUUGUAUUUCGUAUUGAUUUUUAUCUCAGGAAAGUACGGUUAUUCUCGUGUUAUCAUCAAUUAUGUGAUAUAUUUAGUAAUAAGUUAGAUUUUUUUUAGAUAGAUAUGCAAGGAAACGGAAACAAUGAGAGAGGCUUCUCAACUGUGCAAAAAGAUUGAUUCACAUUCGACGAUUUUUCCGUAGAGAAAAAAUCGUCUUGACUUUUUAUUGCAACCGAACCUGAUUCUACCUCGUGUACAUAAUGAAUAAUAUACAUGUUAUAAGCGCGUGACUCACAACUGAUUAAUAAAAUACACGUGCAAGAGAUACGAAAUGAAA